AGUUAGGGUUCCAUCCCAGCAUUUGACUGCGGGAGCGAUGUUUGAUAGAUUUAGGGUUAAUUCAUCGUCUUUUUCCCCGGUCUCUUGAUCGUAGAGAUUGUGAAUUUCAUGGGACUGAAGUUUGGCUCUUUGGUCAAUUUCGUAUGCCAUAGAGAUGAAUGCAGUUCCCUAAAUCAUCUCUUCAACCUCUUCACCCAUUUUCGCUAAGUAAUUCAGGCAGCCUCUCUGCAAUUUCCAUGGCAAAGGAGGCGUUAAACUGCUCGUAAAUCGAAUCGCUUAUGCUCUUCAGACUUGCUGAGGUUUCCUUUGAAGCUCGUCUAGUAAGUUUAAGUACAUUUGUUUUCUGGACAUACGUUUUACGGAUUUCGAGUCGCUGUUCUUGCUUGAUUUCACAUUAUGCUUUUUCUUCAUAACCUAUGAUCAUUUAGCUGAGUAGUGGUUGGUAAAUUAGAUUAUAUCUACUAGACAGCAGAUUAUUCAAUGACUUUUUAGAGUUUCCGCAACUCAGUUGGUGGAUUAAUCCGGAAUUUUGUUGGAGGAAAUAGAGAGUUAGUCGAUUUACAUUUAAAAACACUUAUUCAUAGGUGGAUUACUCUUGAUUGUAGGACUUUCUAGACCUAGACUGGCUUGGAUUUUGAUUCUCAAAUUAUUCUUAAGCUUCUUCAGAUUAUAGACCAAUAACUUAGGUUGAAUUCAAAAUGAUCCAUAGCGGUACAUGUAAUUCAUGCGCAUAUUGCCACAAUUCAUUCAUGUAUUUCAAACAAUAGAUGCAUACUUUGUAAAGUUAUAUCAGGUAAUCAAAUUGUUGAAUUGGAUUGUUUUGAACAAGAACUGAAUUGUGGAAUGUGAGCCAAAUUUGUGUGAAUCAUAUUUUUUUGUUGAUGCAAGCACACAUAUACUGAUGAUGCCAGCAUGGAAAAUAACUUGAAGCUGAAGAUGAAGAACGACCAUAUCUCAGCCUAUGUGGUGAUUUUUGAUGGAGGAGUUGAGUCGCUUGAUUUGUAUGAUUGUAACAACUUUCAAAAGAAUUGAAGGUUUUGGUUUAUUUGAUUAUGCUCUUUGGAUUCUAGACCUCGUUAAUGAUGAUUCUGUAUAAAAGGAGGUUAUCUAGAACUUGAAAUCUUAAUUUAUGUGUCUUGAUGAAAA